CAGCAGCCGCGGUAAUACGAAGGGGGCUAGCGUUGUUCGGAAUUACUGGGCGUAAAGCGCACGUAGGCGGAUAUUUAAGUCAGGGGUGAAAUCCCGCAGCUCAACUGCGGAACUGCCUUUGAUACUGGGUAUCUUGAGUAUGGAAGAGGUUAGUGGAAUUGCGAGUGUAGAGGUGAAAUUCGUAGAUAUUCGCAGGAACACCAGUGGCGAAGGCGGCUAACUGGUCCAUAACUGACGCUGAGGUGCGAAAGCGUGGGGAGCAAACAGGAUUAGAUACCAGCGUAGUCCCUGUCUCUUAUAA
rnacentral:rRNA from 1 species